GGGUUGUGAGGUUAAGCGACUAAGCGUACACGGUGGAUGCCCUGGCAGUCAGAGGCGAUGAAGGACGUGCUAAUCUGCGAUAAGCGUCGGUAAGGUGAUAUGAACCGUUAUAACCGGCGAUUUCCGAAUGGGGAAACCCAGUGUGUUUCGACACACUAUCAUUAACUGAAUCCAUAGGUUAAUGAGGCGAACCGGGGGAACUGAAACAUCUAAGUACCCCGAGGAAAAGAAAUCAACCGAGAUUCCCCCAGUAGCGGCGAGCGAACGGGGAGCAGCCCAGAGCCUGAAUCAGUGUGUGUGUUAGUGGAAGCGUCUGGAAAGGCGCGCGAUACAGGGUGACAGCCCCGUACACAAAAAUGCACAUGCUGUGAGCUCGAUGAGUAGGGCGGGACACGUGGUAUCCUGUCUGAAUAUGGGGGGACCAUCCUCCAAGGCUAAAUACUCCUGACUGACCGAUAGUGAACCAGUACCGUGAGGGAAAGGCGAAAAGAACCCCGGCGAGGGGAGUGAAAAAGAACCUGAAACCGUGUACGUACAAGCAGUGGGAGCACGCUUAGGCGUGUGACUGCGUACCUUUUGUAUAAUGGGUCAGCGACUUAUAUUCUGUAGCAAGGUUAACCGAAUAGGGGAGCCGAAGGGAAACCGAGUCUUAACUGGGCGUUAAGUUGCAGGGUAUAGACCCGAAACCCGGUGAUCUAGCCAUGGGCAGGUUGAAGGUUGGGUAACACUAACUGGAGGACCGAACCGACUAAUGUUGAAAAAUUAGCGGAUGACUUGUGGCUGGGGGUGAAAGGCCAAUCAAACCGGGAGAUAGCUGGUUCUCCCCGAAAGCUAUUUAGGUAGCGCCUCGUGAAUUCAUCUCCGGGGGUAGAGCACUGUUUCGGCAAGGGGGUCAUCCCGACUUACCAACCCGAUGCAAACUGCGAAUACCGGAGAAUGUUAUCACGGGAGACACACGGCGGGUGCUAACGUCCGUCGUGAAGAGGGAAACAACCCAGACCGCCAGCUAAGGUCCCAAAGUCAUGGUUAAGUGGGAAACGAUGUGGGAAGGCCCAGACAGCCAGGAUGUUGGCUUAGAAGCAGCCAUCAUUUAAAGAAAGCGUAAUAGCUCACUGGUCGAGUCGGCCUGCGCGGAAGAUGUAACGGGGCUAAACCAUGCACCGAAGCUGCGGCAGCGACGCUUAUGCGUUGUUGGGUAGGGGAGCGUUCUGUAAGCCUGUGAAGGUGUGCUGUGAGGCAUGCUGGAGGUAUCAGAAGUGCGAAUGCUGACAUAAGUAACGAUAAAGCGGGUGAAAAGCCCGCUCGCCGGAAGACCAAGGGUUCCUGUCCAACGUUAAUCGGGGCAGGGUGAGUCGACCCCUAAGGCGAGGCCGAAAGGCGUAGUCGAUGGGAAACAGGUUAAUAUUCCUGUACUUGGUGUUACUGCGAAGGGGGGACGGAGAAGGCUAUGUUGGCCGGGCGACGGUUGUCCCGGUUUAAGCGUGUAGGCUGGUUUUCCAGGCAAAUCCGGAAAAUCAAGGCUGAGGCGUGAUGACGAGGCACUACGGUGCUGAAGCAACAAAUGCCCUGCUUCCAGGAAAAGCCUCUAAGCAUCAGGUAACAUCAAAUCGUACCCCAAACCGACACAGGUGGUCAGGUAGAGAAUACCAAGGCGCUUGAGAGAACUCGGGUGAAGGAACUAGGCAAAAUGGUGCCGUAACUUCGGGAGAAGGCACGCUGAUAUGUAGGUGAAGCGACUUGCUCGUGGAGCUGAAAUCAGUCGAAGAUACCAGCUGGCUGCAACUGUUUAUUAAAAACACAGCACUGUGCAAACACGAAAGUGGACGUAUACGGUGUGACGCCUGCCCGGUGCCGGAAGGUUAAUUGAUGGGGUCAGCGCAAGCGAAGCUCUUGAUCGAAGCCCCGGUAAACGGCGGCCGUAACUAUAACGGUCCUAAGGUAGCGAAAUUCCUUGUCGGGUAAGUUCCGACCUGCACGAAUGGCGUAAUGAUGGCCAGGCUGUCUCCACCCGAGACUCAGUGAAAUUGAACUCGCUGUGAAGAUGCAGUGUACCCGCGGCAAGACGGAAAGACCCCGUGAACCUUUACUAUAGCUUGACACUGAACAUUGAGCCUUGAUGUGUAGGAUAGGUGGGAGGCUUGACCCGUAAUCCGGGUUGCGGACAGUGUCUGGUGGGUAGUUUGACUGGGGCGGUCUCCUCCUAAAGAGUAACGGAGGAGCACGAAGGUUGGCUAAUCCUGGUCGGACAUCAGGAGGUUAGUGCAAUGGCAUAAGCCAGCUUGACUGCGAGCGUGACGGCGCGAGCAGGUGCGAAAGCAGGUCAUAGUGAUCCGGUGGUUCUGAAUGGAAGGGCCAUCGCUCAACGGAUAAAAGGUACUCCGGGGAUAACAGGCUGAUACCGCCCAAGAGUUCAUAUCGACGGCGGUGUUUGGCACCUCGAUGUCGGCUCAUCACAUCCUGGGGCUGAAGUAGGUCCCAAGGGUAUGGCUGUUCGCCAUUUAAAGUGGUACGCGAGCUGGGUUUAGAACGUCGUGAGACAGUUCGGUCCCUAUCUGCCGUGGGCGCUGGAGAACUGAGGGGGGCUGCUCCUAGUACGAGAGGACCGGAGUGGACGCAUCACUGGUGUUCGGGUUGUCAUGCCAAUGGCACUGCCCGGUAGCUAAAUGCGGAAGAGAUAAGUGCUGAAAGCAUCUAAGCACGAAACUUGCCCCGAGAUGAGUUCUCCCUGACUCCUUGAGAGUCCUGAAGGAACGUUGAAGACGACGACGUUGAUAGGCCGGGUGUGUAAGCGCAGCGAUGCGUUGAGCUAACCGGUACUAAUGAACCGUGAGGCUUAACCUUACAACGCCGAAGGUGUUU
rnacentral:rRNA from 1 species